rnacentral:misc_RNA from 1 species
UUUAUGUGGAGAAAUAGUUUGGUUAAGCUUUGGCUCAUACAUGACAGAAGUACGGUUGAGCCUGAUAUUUGAAUUCUCUUACUAUUUUUUUUCUUAUUGUUUUAAACAAAGGAUUAGUUGAUUUACAGUUUAUUGUCAGAAAAUUAGGACUUCGAAUAUUUGAUGAAGCAACUGAACUCAUAACACCUUAGUUUUGUUUUUCUUAAAAUGAAGCAAUGAUCUUACUUGGGAUACUUGAGUGUUUGUGAGGAACCAAGGGAGUAUUCCUUAUAUAUGAAUUUUUUAUUCGGUUUAUUGUUUCUGUUAUGCAUGUGUCACUGAAUGUGUGAUAAAUUCAUGAUAUGCUGUAGUCAGUUGCUUUUGAUGAUUGAAAAUCUAUUAAAAAUUUUAGGUUUGAGAUUGAGGAGAUUCCAACUCAUUAGGUUAAACCUUUCCUCAGUGUUGAUGUACUAUAAGCAAGAGGAAUUUGGUUAGUCUGCAACUUUUUCUCAUUUAAGAGACUACGUAGGUCAGAACCAUGAUUUCUUGAGUUUGCAUGAUUUGGUUGGGAUACUAGCUGGCUUAAAGGUGAAUAAUGCAAUUCUUGCUGUCAAUUGAAAAGUAGAAAAUCCCCAACAUUAUGGGUGCUUAACAAAAUAAAAUGAAACAUUACAAUAUAUCCUCUUCAUUCCUCGUACUUGGUCUACAAUGAUGGUGAUCUACAACAGCCAAUGCAAAAUUAAUGAAGAAAAACAUUUUUUCUUAGAAGAGUUUCCUUAUGUUACUUCGAUAUUGUUGCAUGUCUUUGUUCCUGAUGCAGUUGUGUGACCUUCUCAAAUCUAGAGUUGAAUGCCCUGACUUCCUUGAAAAGCUAGAGUGUGCUCAAUGGUCGGCUCCCCAAAAUAUUUCGGAAGAAGGUAGUUCUUGGGACAUGGUCAAUGAGCAUGAUCUUUGGGAAUGUGACAAUUUUGACUCUGAUCAAGAAGGUUAUGUUCUUGUUCGGCAAGAAGACAUAGUAGAGGGCAUUGCAUGCUUCAUGGCUGCCUAUCUGUUGUCCCUUAAGCAGACAAAGGUAUGGAAAGUCUCUUCUGUUUCUUAUAUUUUCAACAGUUAUUUGAGUAAUAAAUUAUGCUAAUAAUUAUCAUUUUAUAACACAUUGACAAUGGAUUGAAUCUCAUGGUACUAAAAUGUUGGAAAAAUUUUGUCCUUAAGUGUCAAAGCCUAAACUAUAACUGUAUUUUCCUGAACUUUUCCCUUAUUUUUAAGUUCUAAAUAAUUUGUGUUGUAUCAACACUAAUAGGCAACCACUGGUCCUUUCCUGUAACCUGGAACCAUGGCACCUUUUAAUGCUUACCAAUAUGGAUUUCCAAUCAGAGUUCCUGCUGACAUCUGAUUAUGCUAGGUCGCUUGGGAGCUCUAUCUACUGCUGCCCUUUCAAAGCUUUUUUUUUUUUAUAAUGUGUAUAUACAUCUGAUUUUUAUGUUGACAGCUGUUUUCUUGUUGAAUGGUAUAUUGAAGAUUGUUUAUAUCCUAUAUGUUUGUUUUCUUAUGACACAUCUAGUUUGAGUUAUCAUUUGGGAACUGCUGAUAUUUAAAGUCUGAAUUAGUAGUAUGUGCCAUUAUGCUAGUGAAUAAAAUCUGGCAGUGACAUUCUGUAUAUGGAACAUCUAAUAAUGUUACCUGCGUACUCUUUUUCGUCCCCAGGACUUGACCCCCAAUCAACUCCAGGAAGGUCAGUUUUAAUAAAAGCUUUUCUAAUUAAGCUCAAAUCCUCAUUUUCCAUUGUAUUUUGUGCAACAAGCUCCAUUAUCACCAAUUUGGUUGAAAGAGUUCUGACAUCAAAUGUUAAUUUUCUUUAGCCCUUAGCAAAACAUUCUCUGUAAAAAAGAAGAAAGGGAAGCUUCGGAAAGCAUGGGAUGGAAGCAAAGUCAUCUAUAAUGUAGCAUCCUGGGGGGCAACUGCCAUUGGGUAGGCUUUUUUAGUAGCUCUCAUUUAAUACAGCUAUUCUUUCUUCCCUGCACUGGUUACACAAUGUAUCCUGUCUGUAAUGUCCAGAGCUGCCCCAUUGAUGAAUCUCUCAGUAAAACUUUCAGUAUCAUUUACUAAGCAUUUCUACAUGUUCCUUCGUUGCUCUAAGUAUAUAUUGAUUCAGUCUUUUGUAGGAGUAAUAAUUUACUGAUCUCCGUUUUCCUUGUCUUCACCUAACAGGAUAUACCAAAACCCAGUAAUUCUUAGGGCUGCCACUAAAGCAUUCUGGGCUUCUCGUCAUAUUAUAUCAAAGCUUCUCUGAUGUGCCUGUUAAUACUUGGAGAAUACUAUGGUAUUGGAAUUCACUGAUGUAUUUAUGCUUGUGCUGCUAAUGCAGCUGGGGUUUCUCAUGUUGUACUACAUUCUUCCAUGCUGCAAAUUGAUUGAUUAAUCGGGACAUGAUUUGUCUUGUAAAUAUUCUUCUUCUAAGUAUUUCCGAGUGAAAUUGAAAUUCAUUGGUAAAAUUUCAUUGUAUAGUUUAACUUGUAAGUCAUGCUUGCUCCAGACAAUUGUGUUGCCUUGAUUGCAAGCAUGAAUGAUAUUUGGGUAUAGAAUUUGGUUAGGCAUGCGUGGAAGUAAUGGUCUCUUCUUAU